GUCCUUCCUGUCCUCUGUUCCCAGCUCUGCCCACUGGCAGCCUGGCCCUGCAUUGCACAAGCUCCUUCUCCCCCAACCAGCCCCUCCCCAGCCACUUCCCUUGAGAU